rnacentral:misc_RNA from 1 species
CGAAGUCAGGGGAAACUCUGAUGGA